UACGGAGGGUGCAAGCGUUAUCCGGAUUUACUGGGUUUAAAGGGUGCGCAGGCGGAUAUGUAAGUCAGUGGUGAAAUCUUUAGGCUUAACCUGAAAAUUGCCGUUGAUACUAUAUAUCUUGAAUGCUGUGGAGGUAAGCGGAAUAUGUCAUGUAGCGGUGAAAUGCUUAGAUAUGACAUAGAACACCUAUUGCGAAGGCAGCUUACUACGCAGAUAUUGACGCUCAUGCACGAAAGCGUGGGGAUCAAAC
rnacentral:rRNA from 1 species